AGGGUUUGAUUAUGGCUCAGAGUGAACGCUGGCGGCGUGGCUAAGACAUGCAAGUCGAGCGGGAAAAAGAAUGUAGCAAUACGUGAUUUUGAGAGCGGCAAACGGGUGAGUAACACAUAAACAAUCUGCCUUAAAGUUUGGGAUAGCUCGGGGAAACUCGAAUUAAUACCGGAUGUGGUUGACAGUUGCAUGACUGUAGGACUAAAGCUUGAGAUGGCGCUUUAAGAGGAGUUUAUGGCCUAUCAGCUAGUUGGCGGGAUAACAGCCCACCAAGGCAAAGACGGGUAGCGGGUCUGAGAGGACGAUCCGCCACAUUGGAACUGAGACACGGUCCAA
rnacentral:rRNA from 1 species